rnacentral:Y_RNA from 1 species
GGCUGGUCCAGUGGUAAUGGGUUAUCAGAACUUAAUAACCUCAGUGCCACUAAACUUGUUUUACAGCCCCUCACUGCUAAAUUUGACUGGCUUAAA